CACGAACCGUACGAACGUUAUUCGGAAUUACUGGGCUUAAAGGGUUUGUAGGCGGCCAUGUAAGUCUGCCGUGAAAGCCCCGGGCUCAACCUGGGAAUGGCGGUGGAUACUGGGAAGCUGGAGUGCGGUAGAGGAGGGUGGAAUUCCCGGUGUAGCGGUGAAAUGCGUAGAGAUCGGGAGGAACAUCAGUGGCGAAGGCGGCCCUCUGGACCGGUACUGACGCUGAGGAGCGAAAGCGUGGGGAGCAAACAGG
rnacentral:rRNA from 1 species